UUUCAGGGCAAUGCAGUUCCACCUGAAAAUCAACAUCACUCAUUUUCCACAGCCCAAUUUGAGGAAGAGAGAAUGCCAAAAACUAAGAUGGUAUUCUUCAAAUCCUCAGGCAGUUUGCUGGGAAGAAAAAGGCAGUAACUAAGAAGCCAUGAUUUUUUCUUUCCUCUCUCUCUAUGUCUAUUCUGUGCUUCAAUGUCUCAAGAAAUCAAUUCAAAUAAACAGGCUAUGUUCUAGCUCUCCUUUUCUA